rnacentral:rRNA from 1 species
AUGCAAGUCGAACGCAGUAGCAAUACUGAGUGGCAAACGGGUGAGUAUAAUGUGGGAAUCUGCCUUUUGGUUUGGAAUAACACGGGGAAACUUGUGCUAAUACCGAAUAAGCCCUUACGGGGAAAGUUUUAACGCCGAAAGAUGAGCCUGCACUUGAUUAGCUAGUUGGUAAGGUAAAAGCUUACCAAGGCGACGAUCAAUAGCUGUUCUUAGAGGAAGACCAGCCACAUUGGGACUGAGACACGGCCCAGACUCCUACGGGAGGCAGCAGUGGGGAAUCUUGCACAAUGGGGGAAACCCUGAUGCAGCGAUGCCGCGUGAGUGAAGAAGGCCUUUGUGUUGUAAAACUCUUUCGUCGGGGAAGAAAAUGACUGUACCCGAAUAAGAAGGUCCGGCUAACUUCGUGCCAGCAGCCGCGGUAAUACGAAGGGACCUAGCGUAGUUCGGAAUUACUGGGCUUAAAGAGCUCGUAGGUGGUUAAAAAAGUUGAUGGUGAAAUCCCAAGGCUCAACCUUGGAACUGCCAUCAAAACUUUUUAGCUAGAGUGUGAUAGAGGUAAGUGGAAUUUCUAGUGUAGAGGUGAAAUUUGUAGAUAUUAGAAAGAACACCAAAUGCGAAGGCAACUUACUGGGUCACUACUGACACUGAGGAGCGAAAGCAUGGGUAGCGAAGCGGAUUAGAUACCCUCGUAGUCCAUGCCGUAAACGAUGUGUGCUAGACGUUGGAAAUAUAUUUUUCAGUGUCGCAGCGAAAGCAUUAAGCACACCGCCUGGGGAGUACGACCGCAAGGUUAAAACUCAAAUGAAUUGACGGG